GAUCUUGUUCAAGGUUGCUGGAAAUAGGAUCCGGAACUAUGACUGUCUUGUGGAAGUGACGGCACACGUAGAGAUUACCGUGGAGGUCAAGGAGAAGAGAAUUCGGAGUUCAAGGUCUAGGGGUCAAGGGUCAUACGGGGACUACAGACCCAACAAGAAGAGCAUGAGCACUUUUCCAAGUCAGUCUCAACCGCAGCAGUCUAGAUCCACCUUCCCUUUGCCUAGUGCAGGCCCGGGGAAGAGUGCAUCGAGUGGUUUUUCCUGUUUUAAGUGUGGCCAACCAGGUCACAAAAUUAAAUGUAUCACAAUUGAAAAGUUAGGGACUAAAAUGACACAAAUCCCAAACUACAGGGACUCUGUGUGAUUCAUCCAAAUUAAUCACCAACAAACAAUCAUCCACCAAAAAAAUUUUGAGCAGGGAAAUUAUAUGCAACAUAAAUGACUUGUUCGGCAAUUCCUGUGCACCCAUUUUUAUUUUUAAUUAUUGUGUUUUGGAUUUCUCUCACUCAAAAUACAUUUCUAAAAUGUGAAGCUCUCCACACAAACACUAAUUACCUACUUCCAAUUACAAUCUAUAGACUCUAUAGCAUAAUAAUUGCACCAUUUACUAGUUUUAAAUACAUACAGCCACUUUAACUGGUACCACAAUAUUGGAUCAUUAUAUAUAUCCAAGCACAAAAUGAAUACAACAAGAGACAAUACUAGAACAAACUCUUAUUAGGUUGGUUUGCAGUUCUUCUCGCCUAGAUCAUCAUGACUGGAAUAUUUGCUCUCUUAACUAUACUUUUUUUGGCUUCCCUUCUGACUGAAACCUCUGUCCAUGUCCUUGCAUUAUACGUAUUUGAGGACGCAAUUGUUGAUGGAGGAAACACGCAGCCAACUUCACCACAUGGCAUUGAUCUUAACACGACAAUACCUAUUCGCUGGACCAAUGAAAAAUUAAUGCUGAUUUCAUUGCAAGCUUCCUGGGAUUGCCAUUUCUUCCACCUUCCACAGAUACUUCAGGAUUGGAAAUAUCCAAAACUGAUGUAAACUAUGGACAUGUUGGUUGUGGUUUAUUGCGCCGAACUGGCCCUGUAAUAUAAAUAACAACUUUUUUUUGUUCGAAUUAUUUUACUUCUCUAUAAAUGUACAUGGUGAUUGUAUCAAUUUUGAUUUUAAAUUUAAUUUUAACUUUUGCAGAAGAAUUGUUCUUUUGAAGAUCAGAUAGGCCAAUUUAAUUUAACUGUGGCAAAUAAUCUUACAAAAGCAUUCAACGAACACGAACUUGUCGACAAGUUCUGUUUUUCUUGUUUCAUUGGGCAUAAAUGACUACUACUUCAACUAUCUGUCCUCUAUAAACGUACAUGCUGAUUGUAUCAAUUUUAAUUUUAAUUUUUGCAGAAGAAUUGUUCUUUUGAAGAUCACAUCGGCCAAUUUAAUUUAACCAUGGAAAAUGAUCUUACAAAAGCAUUCAACGAACAAGAACUUGUCCAACAUUUGACAAAUUCUGUUUUUCUUGUUUCAUUUGGCAUAAAUGACUACUCCUGCAACUAUAUGUCCUCCAUAAAUAUACAUGGUGAUUGUAUCAAUUUUGAUUUUAAUUUUAAUUUUUGCAGAAGAAUUGUUCUUUUGAAGAUCAGAUCGACCAAUUUAAUUUAACUAUGUCAAAUGAUCUUACAAAAGCAUUCAACGAACAAGAACUUGUCCAACAUCUGACAAGUUCUGUUUUUCUUGUUUUAUUUGGCAUAAAUGACUACUCCUUCAACUAUCUGUCCUCUAUAAAUGUACAUGGUGAUUGUAUCAUUUUUUCUUUUAAUUUUAAUUUUAAUUUUUGCAGAAGAAUUGUUCUUUUGAAGAUCAGAUCGGCCAAUUUAAUUUAAUUGUGGCAAAUGAUCUUACAAAAGCAUUCAACGAACAAGAAUUUGUCCAACAUUUGACAAGUUCUAUUUUUCUUGUUUCAUUUGGCAUAAAUGACUACUCCUUCAACGAUCUGUCAUC